AAGGUGUCUUGGCUAAUGUGUCUCGGCUAAUGUGUCUUGGCUAAUGUGUCUUGGCUAAGGUGUCUUGGCUAAUGUGUCUUGGCUAAUGUGUCUCGGCUAAUGUGUCUUGGCUAAGGUGUCUUGGCUAAAGUGUCUUGGCUAAUGUGUCUCGGCUAAGGUGUCUUGGCUAAUGUGUCUCGGCUAAGGUGUCUUGGCUAAGGUGUCUUGGCUAAUGUGUCUCGGCUAAUGUGUCUUGGCUAAUGUGUCUUGGCUAAGGUGUCUUGGCUAAGGUGUCUUGGCUAAGGUGUCUUGGCUAAUGUGUCUUGGCUAAGGUGUCUUGGCUAAUGUGUCUUGGCUAAUGUGUCUUGGCUAAGGUGUCUUGGCUAAUGUGUCUUGGCUAAGGUGUCUUGGCUAAUGUGUCUUGGCUAAGGUGUCUUGGCUAAGGUGUCUUGGCUAAUGUGUCUUGGCUAAUGUGUCUUGGCUAAGGUGUCUUGACUAAGGUGUCUUGGCUAAUGUGUCUCGGCUAAGGUGUCUUGGCUAAUGUGUCUUGGCUAAGGUGUCUUGGCGAGGGUGUCUUGGCUAAGGUGUCUUGGCUAAUGUGUCUUGGCUAAUGUGUCUUGGCUAAGGUGUCUUGGCUAAGGUGUCUUGGCUUAUGUGUCUUGGCUAAUGUGUCUUGGCUAAUGUGUCUUGGCUAAGGUGUCUCGGCUAAUGUGUCUUGGCUAAGGUGUCUUGGCUAAGGUGUCUUGGCUAAGGUGUCUUGGCUAAUGUGUCUCGGCUAAAGUGUCUUGGCUAAGGUGUCUUGGCUAAGGUGUCUUGGCUAAUGUGUCUCGGCUAAAGUGUCUUGGCUAAGGUGUCUUGGCUAAGGUGUCUUGGCUAAGGUGUCUUGGCUAAGGUGUCUUGGCUAAGGUGUCUUGGCUAAGGUGUCUUGGCUAAUGUGUCUCGGCUAAAGUGUCUUGGCUAAGGUGUCUUGGCUAAGGUGUCUUGGCUAAGGUGUCUUGGCUAAGGUGUCUUGGCUAAUGUGUCUCGGCUAAUGUGUCUUGGCUAAUGUGUCUUGGCUAAGGUGUCUUGGCUAAGGUGUCUUGGCUAAGGUGUCUUGGCUAAUGUGUCUUGGCUAA